rnacentral:rRNA from 1 species
GAUGAACGCUGGCGGCGUGCCUAAUACAUGCAAGUCGAGCGAACAGACGAGGAGCUUGCUCCUCUUACGUUAGCGUCGGACGGGUGAGUAACACGUGGAUAACCUACCUAUAAGACUGGGAUAACUUCGGGAAACCGGAGCUAAUACCGGAUAAUAUAUUGAACCGCAUGGUUCAAUAGUUAAAGACGGUUUUGCUGUCACUUAUAGAUGGAUCCGCGCCGCAUUAGCUAGUUGGUAAGGUAACGGCUUACCAAGGCAACGAUGCGUAGCCGACCUGAGAGGGUGAUCGGCCACACUGGAACUGAGACACGGUCCAGACUCCUACGGGAGGCAGCAGUAGGGAAUCUUCCGCAAUGGGCGAAAGCUUGACGGAGCAACGCCGCGUGAGUGAUGAAGGUCUUCGGAUCGUAAAACUCUGUUAUUAGGGAAGAACAAAUGUGUAAGUAACUAUGCACGUCUUGACGGUACCUAAUCAGAAAGCCACGGCUAACUACGUG